rnacentral:rRNA from 1 species
GAUGAACGCUAGCUCCAGGCUUAACACAUGCAAGUCGAGGGACCGGCGCACGGGUGAGUAACACGUAUCCAACCUGCCCUUUACUCGGGGAUAGCCUUUCGAAAGAAAGAUUAAUACCCGAUAUAAAGGAUGGGGAUGCGUUCCUUUCGGUUGUUGGGGAGGUACCGGCCCACCAAGCCUUCGAUGGAUAGGGGUUCUGAGAGGAAGGUCACCCACAUUGGAAAAGAGACAUGGUCCAAACUCCUACGGGAGGCAGGAGUGAGGAAGAAUGGUCAAUGGGCGCUAGCCUGAAACAGCCAAGGAGCGUGAAGGAGGAAGGCUUAUGAAUCGUAAACUUCUUUUAUAUAAGAAUAGGUAUUAUAUGAAUAAGGAUCGGCUAACUCCGUGCCAGCAGCCGCGGUAAUUC